rnacentral:rRNA from 1 species
GAUGAACGCUGGCGGCGUGCCUAAUACAUGCAAGUCGAGCGAACAGACGAGGAGCUUGCUCCUCUGACGUUAGCGGCGGACGGGUGAGUAACACGUGGAUAACCUACCUAUAAGACUGGGAUAACUUCGGGAAACCGGAGCUAAUACCGGAUAAUAUAUUGAACCGCAUGGUUCAAUAGUGAAAGACGGUUUUGCUGUCACUUAUAGAUGGAUCCGCGCCGCAUUAGCUAGUUGGAAAGGUAACGGCUUACCAAGGCAACGAUGCGUAGCCGGCCUGAGAGGGUGAUCGGCCACAAUGGAACUGAGACACGGUCCAGACUCCUACGGGAGGCAGCAGUAGGGAAUCUUCCGCAAUGGGCGAAAGCCUGACGGAGCAACGCCGCGUGAGUGAUGAAGGGCUUCGGAUCGUAAAACUCUGUUAUUAGGGAAGAACAAAUGUGUAAGUAACUAUGCACGUCUUGACGGUACCUAAUCAGAAAGCCACGGCUAACUACGU